GAUAAACGCUGGCGGCGUGCAUGAGACAUGCAAGUCGAACGAAGGAUCGGGCUUGCUCGAUCCUUAGUGGCGGACGGCUGAGUAACGCGUAGGUGACCUACCCCGAAGUGGGGAAUAACUGCCCGAAAGGGUGGCUAAUACCGCAUGUGGUCGCACGUUCAUUCGUGCGAGUAAAGCCGCAAGGCGCUUCGGGAGGGGCCUGCGUCCGAUUAGCUCGUUGGUGGGGUAAUGGCUUACCAAGGCGACGAUCGGCAGGUGGUCUGAGAGGACGAUCACCCAGACUGGGACUGAGACACGGCCCAGACUCCUACGGGAGGCAGCAGUCGGGAAUUUUGCUCAAUGGGGGAAGCCCUGAAGCAGCAACGCCGCGUGAGGGAUGAAGGCCUUCGGGUUGUAAACCUCUUUUGUCAGGGACGAUGAUGACGGUACCUGGCGAAUAAGCCACGGCUAACUACGUG
rnacentral:rRNA from 1 species